rnacentral:lncRNA from 1 species
AGCGCAUAAAGCGCGGUUAACCUACCGCCGCCGUCACGUACAUUUGAAUUAUAUUGUCGUGAAAAUUGUUUCGCGCUAUAUGUUGCGGUUUUACUCUUCCUAACGCGCCUCACCUUCCAUUCCAUUGCCUCUCCGAUACAAAAGUAAUGCCUAAUUACGUAAUCAAGUUGAUGCAAUCACGCGUGCAUGUAAUCGGGCGCCAGAAAUAUGUAAAAAAUAACGUAGAUAUAAUUUUGCUUAAUUGGUAUGCAUUAUCUCGGGAACGAUAAGUGAAUAUAAGUGGCGUACCGUUGCGUCAUGGAGCGCGAUUAAAUUUCCUUUUUUUUUUUGGCGACAGCCACUCGAGGCGCUAAACAUCGAUAGCGAUCGAAAGCUUUGCUUUCCUCGAAAGGAAACGCAAACACUCGUUGGAUUCCUAAUAGCCAAGAUACUGAGGUUCACGGGGCAAGAGAGAAAUAGAGACUAACGGCGCGAAAAAUAUUAUUGCACCGAUAGCGGUUUCCUUCGACGUGACAUAAGCGCGUUUUCUACAGAAAUACCACAAAGCUGCGGUACCGUGGCGCAUGAUUCAUUGAAUGAGAGUUUCGUAAAGUAUAUGCACACUGUUAAAAGCGAGUCCUUGAAACGUUCUCGGAGCCGAAGAAUGCGCACGAUCGACCAACAAAACUUUUGCCGGUAGUUCCGUUAGGCUGCGUUUUGCGCAAGCAAGAACGAACGGGGCUCCUUUUACAUACGUAUGUAUAUAGACAUCCUGCAAAGGUCGACCGUCAGGAUCAAGCCGACGCGAGGUCCUGGAAGCGGAAUAACGGUAAACGCUUUCGUUCCCCCUGGCAUUGACGGCGACUUCGCGUUCGUAGAAUUAAAACCUGUUGUAUCUCACACCUCUCGCGUAUACUCAGAAUUGAAUUGACGGAAAGUUUUAAAGAUAUUGAGCUCCAGUUUUUUUUUCCCCGAAACUUUCGAUAUACGAGAAAAAAAACUUAUCUCGUUUAUAAUUAAAAAACUGUUAAAAUGAUUACUUUUAAUUAUUAACAAUAGAAAAAGUAAUUAGGGAAAAUGAAACCAAUAGGUGAAUGCAAUUUUUUUUCCUCCUUAAACAAGUCUAAGAAUAUAUAGUUGACAUUAGAAUUUUAUGAGUUCCGAGGAUUUAGAGAUGUUUUUCUCGCAUUUUAAUGACCAUCGAUUUUUCUGGCAGCCGAGGAACGUCUUGGUAAACAGAUUCUCUCGCUUCGUACGCGAUCGUGCAACGAAUAUGCAUCGUUCGCGUUUAUUUAUCCUGGACUCUGUUUUUCCGCGGUUUCGUCGGAAAGACACGGACUUCAAAACACUUCUCGCGAACCUGCGCUUUUAGAGCGAAGCGCGCAUAAAACCGCAAUCGUAACUUCUCCUAUGCGCACCUUCCGCGAAGCCAUCUCGAACCUUUUUCCCGAGAAACUUUGUUUAUGAUAAGUCGAUAAUACACGACGUCAUCGUGUUUAUAUUAGAAAGUGUCUAGUACGUGCGUGAGUCAUUAAGUCGCCUCAGUUGUAUCCAAUCCGUGAGGACGCAACACGAUAUUAAUAGGAUGUGACAAACACAAGUGUCUUUAAGAAAAUAUAUAAUUUUUCAACUUACAAAUAAAAACUUUUCUUCAAGUUUAUUAAAGAAGUGUGUUAAAACGAUAAAUCAAUUUUCCUAUUAAGAUUCCACAUUUAUUAUUACAUAAAUAUAACAGAAAAAUGUUUACGUAUAAAUAAUGCUAUACUAAUAAAAAUAUCUUUGUGAAAAAAACUUGAUAUAUGAAAAUAGAUUUCGAUGGUUAGCAAAGAAGCACUCGUUCAAAAGAGCAUAGGUUUCGCCAUAUAUACGUGACGCGAUUUUCGAAGCACGAUAAACGUACCACUUUCGGUCUCUCUCUUGAAUCAACUGUUCAGUCGUGCGCUUAUUUCCGCCGUCUGCACCGAGCAAUAAAAAUCAUUGAUUUUUCCCUGUGUAUUGAGAAGUCUUAGCAGCGACGUAUAACUCGCAUUGAUCGGAUUUGCCGAUGGCUUUCGUCGGAUGUCUCACCCUCUGUUCACGAAUCGAUUACUGACCGGUCUUAAAGGAAAGCCUCAUGGUGGCAAUUACACGGCGGGUUUAUCAAGCUCGGAGGAGCAUUGAGCACGUGGAAGAUUUUCUCUCUUAUUCUCGGACUUUAUCCAUGAAAACGAAAGAAAAAGAAAGAGUGAAUGAGAGGAAGACAGAGAGAGAGAGAGACUGAGAUAAGAAGAUAUUCCGCAAAAGAAGCGUUAUCGCAGACUGGAAACUUCAUUCAUUUUAAUUAAUGUAUUUAUACAUUCAAUAAUUUGCAGAUUAAGGAAGUAUUUAUUGCCUGAUUUUUAAUGUAUUUAUCAUCCAUUGACUAACUCUAAAAGAUAUUCGACUUUGACUUCUAAAGUCAAUUAAUAAAAUUACGCUUCUAUCAAAUUUAAGUUAUAUCAGGUUUAAAUAAGAUGAAUAGAAAGGGGGGGAAAUAGUGCUCUCUUUAUAAAAAAAGAAAUAUUACAACUUUUUGUGACAUAUUUGUGCAAAAAUAUAUGCGCAUUAUAAGUAAUUAUACGAAAAUCUUACCAUGAUAAAAAAUCGGCAAAAAGAAAGUGUAACAGACAAAGGAUUCGCGAUAAAAAGCUUCGUAGUCCAUUAUUAACUAUGUUUAAUCUACUUUACGAGGGGAAAGUUCACACUGUGCUCGCGCUGUGCGCGAUUGUUUGCCUCGUCUCGGUUAACUCGUUCCUCCCAGCCAUUUCUCUCGGGCGUAAUCGAGAAACUGAUCAGCGCGGCGCGACUCCGUGCAUUAUUAAAGAUCAAACAGAGUGUUGCAAAAAAAAAUAAAAAUAUCCGAUGCUAUGACCCGCGGGUCGCGAAUUACUUAUCGGUCAUCGAUGCUCUCAAAGCGAAUUUUUUAGGAAGCAUCGAUUGAUUCUUUCAACAAGAGACCAAUUUGUUCUUGAACUUUGCAGCCUGAUAAAUCGUAGUUCCACGAUGAGUCGCGCGAUCAGUGAAAUAAAGUUAUGUUAAAUAGAUGAAUAGACAGAUAGAAAUAUUUGUUCAGCGCUCUGGAACAAAGCCAACUCCUUCGACGCCCGACAGAAAUUGUGUAAAGUGUCUCAGAUGAUAAAUAUUUGAAAGACAGGAACAAUUUCGAUGCGCCGGCGACAAUAAAAAUCUCAAGAAAUCUUAUGUUAAAAUUUAACUCAAAUAUUCUUUUUUUUCAGUGAAUGAAAUAUAUUUUACAAAUGCAUAUGUCUUGCAACAAAAAUAAUAAAAAAUAUAAAGUGAUCAUUUUUAUCAUCGUAAACAUGUGGCAUUGUUUUCGAUUAGCAAAUUGACUAUCGGACUCUUUUCUUUCGCUAAAAAAAUUUUGCAAACAUUUAAAAUAAAAUGAAUAAUUAAUAAAAAUGAGCAUAACAAUGCCGCUUAUACAAACGAUGCUUUUACAGGUUUCGGUCCAUCCGCUCGACAUCGAAAGCUAGCAAUGUCAUUUUAUGGCCAAAGGGAAGGACGUACCUUAGAAUUGACAAACGUUCUCGAUUAGUUUCGAUUUCAACGAAAUUUUGGGGAGUCACGGGCAAAGAGGAAGACAAACGCGCGACGCGACGACGAGUCGCGGCCAUCGUGGAAGCAUUCAGGGAAUUUCGCCAAUUAAAAUCGACGGACGACACGACGGCGCGCGCGAUAAAAAGUUCCGGCGCCAGGGAAAGGGGUUGGGGAAGGAAGAGCCAGGGAGUGGAGGACCUCCAAGCCCUUCGAUGCAAAAGGACACGUCUCCACUUCUCGAUCGAUUACCACUGUCUUCCGCCUCCGCCGCCGAGGCGAGGGGGUGAAAACGCCUCAUAAUUACCAAGAGCAUUCGUUCGCUCCGCCGCUUCUCGGAUAUUCGUAUUUCUUGGAGAGAACGCGAGACGAUCGAGCGCGUAUAACUUUGAAAUCGGAAAGUUUUUCUUCGUCGACGGCAUACGUGUAUUCUCUCGGGAUUCGGCUGCGGAUAUUGGAGUCUCCGACAACGAUUGUACAUUGCAGUCUAUUCGUUCCGAGGAAGUGCAAGAGAUCGGCAUUUAUAUUAUAAAGUAUUACCAAGGUACUCGUCACAAUAUCGUAUUAUUAUUAUUUAACAACUCUGUAUCAUUCCUAUGUAACAUAAGCAACAAAUUUAUUUUAAAAUACAGACUUGGGAUUUUUAUUCUAAAA